rnacentral:rRNA from 1 species
GACAGAGGUGCCAAGCGUUAGGCGGAAUCACUGGGCUUAAAGCGUGUGUAGGCGGACUUCUAAGUACCUUGUGAAAUCCCACGGCUCAACCGUGGAACUGCUUGGUAUACUGGUUGUCUUGAGCCACUUAGGGGCUACCGGAACAAAUGGUGGAGCGGUGAAAUGCGUAGAUAUCAUUUGGAACGCCAAUGGUGAAAACAGGUAGCUGGGAGUGUGCUGACGCUGAGACACGAAAGCUAGGGGAGCAAACAGG